ACGCGGAGAUUCUGCCUUGCGAUGCACAAAAGGCAUCGCCGAUUUUAGACGGAGAUUCGAGCGACUCCCCUGCUUCAACCCACUCUCCUUUGAUACCAAUGCUU